rnacentral:lncRNA from 1 species
AUCAUGGGUUCCAUGGAGGCUUCCUUGCUUUUUGAUUGUUGAAUCAAAGGUUUUCUAUCUUCCUCAUAACCUUUUUUGGAACUAUAAAAUUGAGACCUUUGUUUUCAUGAUUUUUGCUUUUGAUUGGUCCUCCUCUGUUUUUCCAUUUUAUGAAUACUGGUUUAGAAUCAGAAUGGCCUUUAACCUGUUGUCUGUUGUAAAAUCAGCUGAUUCUACUUUUGUUUCUUUGAUAUCCAUUGCCUCUAGUGGUUGUCCAAGAUAUCGUAUGCAGCACUUGUGUAACAGGUUUGGAAUAAUGAGUUGAAAUGUUCAAUUUCAUGUCUGAUAUGCCAAAAUAGCUCAAAGUUAUGGUGCCAUUAUAUUCAUUGACAUUUAGUUGCUUAUAGCGUUCAUAUUUUGUUGAGAUCAAUAUUGAUUUGAGGCAUUCUUUGAAAUUAGAAAGUUGACAUUGUUUCUACCUACAACUUAGAUUUUAUGCAUUAAAUGUUUGCUUGUGGGCAGCGGCAAAAUAUUUAAUCAACACAAUAAAAAAUAAAUGGAUUAGUGUGAAUUAAACAGUUAAGAUUAAUCGAAGACAUCUAUUUUUUUUUUUUUUGAGAGAAAUCAAUCAAAGACAUCUAUUGAAUUCAAAGAACAAGGAAUGACGAUUGUAUGAGGGUUAUAGGUUGUUGUGUAGAUUAUCUUAGGCCUCACUUUUUCGGCCGUAGAGAUUUCACUUCACGGUAGUUGUGCCUGAGAGGGUAGUGUGCAGCUUGGCACACCACCAUCUGCAGAGGUUUUGAACUUUUGGAACCCCUCUUAUUAGCAAAAAGCCAGUGAAAAGGGACAUUUGCACGUAUGGAUACAAAAGAAAAUUCCUUUUUUCUAUAUCAGCAAAAAAGUCUACUUUUUAUGACCCCUGUGUCUUUCCUCUUAUCACAGUUGCCCAUAAAGCCAACUAAAGAUGUCCCUUGGAUAUGACAACCAAAACAUUCAGAUAGGGCCUCACGAUUUUGUUGUCAUAAUAAUCAUCUAAGAUAUUUGAUUGGGUUAUCAUAUGAAUUAUUACAUACUUAUAAGUGGUCUAGGCAACCAAAAUACAAACGGGGCCUUACGAUUGUCAUAAUAAUGAUGUAAGAUAGUUGAUUGGGUUAUCAUAUGAAUUAUUACAUAAUUAUAAAUGGUUUAGGAUUGUAGCUGGGCGCUAUGGUCAAUCAAUAUAUCCGAACUGUCCAAAUUGGGCCUUACAAUAUCCCUUACAAUAUCUAUCGAAAAGAUGGCUUUUGGUUUGUAUCUAAUGUGAUCUACAUGUUCUGCAUUUGCAGCCAGAAAACUCUGUCUAAGUUGGUGUUUUAGUAUGUGCAAAGUUGGAACUUUAUGUACAAGAAUGAUCGAUUCUGUUGAAUGUACACAUUUUUUUUCUGAUAAACGUUAACAUUUGUAUUGCUGAAUGGAAAGAAGUACAAGUUGGAGGUUAGUCCGAGAGUGCCCUCUAGGCGGGACUCAUCGGUAAAAAAGAAUAGGUCGAAGGACCCUAUACAAAAAAUGGGGUUAUAGAAUAGUCCCAUUAUAAAGUUUACAAUAGGUUCACAAAAAACUGGCCCAUUGCAAAAUUUACCAUGGAAUAAGAUGCCCGAAUACAGUGAGUUUUCCUUCUAAGUAAUUCUUCUUAGGUCUUAAGCGGAAGUGGGCCAGGUGUGCACUUCUUCAUGGGCCCUCGCCCCAUCCUUCGCCAGGAGUUCGUCGAGCUCGUUGGACAUCCUCGAGAUAUGUAUCUAGGAAACAUCCAUAUCCCUGCAAGUGUAUACAAUCUCAUCAUAAAUCAUUGCCAAAUACCAAGGGUGUGUACACCUUCUAGUGAAUUCCAUGUUUCUAUUGAAUUACAUGCUGAAUGUACACCUUUCUAGUGAAUUCCAUGUUUUUAUUUUAUGCUGUAUUAGCUAUCAUUAUUUAUUUAUCAUUCAUAUUCUAGUUAUGUUCUCUAGAUAUGCUAGUAUUCAUGCUAUUUACUUGUCUUUAUUUUAGGUAAGCAAAAUGAUGUUCGUUGGUUGUUUUAAUGUUUUAUUCAAUAAUUGUAUAAAAAAGAAAGAGAUGUGUAUUCGAGAGUUUCUCCAUCUUUGCUAUUAAAUGCCUUUCUGGUUAUUCGUCUUUCUUCUAUCUAUAUGGAUUACACCCAGAUGUAUAUGUAUUAAUGCAAUGCACUAUUAAGAAUACAGCCAUUUGAGAUAAUGUCAUAUUAUGAAUUUUUCAUAUAUCAUAGUCUCUUAUUAAGAACGCAAUAAAUUUUAUUCUAUCUUGGCAAUAUCUUUCUUUCUGACAAUUACUUUUGCAAACCGUUAGAUAAUAUUUUACUUUUUAUUGAGGAAACGUAUUUUGUGAAGUCAUGGCUUGAUGCUUCGAACACCUUAAACCUUGUUGGAAAACGUGGCUCCAGCCCCAUAAAUUUUGCAUAUUAUUUAUCUACACCUCAACAACCAUGGAUCGAAAGAAAUCGAUUUUAAGCUCUAAAAAUGUUCCGUCUUGUAAUAUUUUUUCUAGAAUGUCCGUUUCAAGUCUUUACAAGUCUGUAAGAUUUGCACUAUUUUUUGGAGCUCCGAAAUCCACAGCUAGGGGCAGAAACUGAUCUGUAGAACAUCACAAGGUUCUCAAGUGUUGCAUCUAAUUUCUAGUACACCAUUUUGAGGUGAGACCCUCUCAAGUUUCAUGACCUGAGAAUGGGGUUGAGGUCGUGGUGGUAGUACCACCUGAGUCUCAGGUACAGUUGCUGGUUUAGGUUUCAUUCCUACUUACGCAUUUGAAAACUAUUAACUAUUUCAAAAAAUUGGUAGGGGCUUGUACUCUCAUUUGAUAUACCCAAAAAAGAAAAGAAGUUUCACGAAGCCCUGGCUUAUCAAAAACUCGUCCAUUUAUUUUUAUUUAUUUAUGCAUUUCCUUAUUUCUUUUUUUGCUUGAUUGAUAAUGCUUCUUCCUGUGUAUAACAGUAAAUCAGAUAAAAAAUUCAAAAGCACGGAAGAAGGCAUUGAACCCAUAAAGAAAUGAGAACAAAACUCUAGACUGUUGUGAAACUUCGCUUUUGGCUUUCCUUGUGACCGACGCUUGUGCUUCUCUGCCUUUUUUACUUCAUAAUCCUUGUAUUAUUGGUUCAAGUUGGAGAGUUAAUCCAUUCUGAACUUUUGUAUCAUUCACUUAAUGAAUCCUGAAUGGAACACGAUUUUUGUAGCCCCCACGCCCCCCCAAAAGAUUUGGGAUAAAGCUCGGAUGUAUCAUUCAUUUAAUGACAACAAAACUGUUUAUACACUCGAGGAUGUGCUAUUGACAACUUUAAACAAAAAAAAGGAUGUACUAUUGGCCUUUUUAUUUGAACUUUUUGAGUUUUGAAAUAGAUAUAAGCACAUUAAACAUCUAAUGGACACACUAAAUGCAAGUGCUGCAUCAAAUUAGCUGAUUUUGGAUAUCUAAACAAUUUAACUGUACAAAAAUCGGAUGGUCUGUCUUUUUAGGGAACUGUGCAAAAAUCGGAUAGUCCCUAUGCAAUAUUUUGACAUCAAAAUUUCGAAGCACUUACGAAGACUGAUUAACCUUUUUCCUAUUGGAUGGAUUGCUCGAGCAGAAGCAGGGAAGCAUCUAUUAUACUGAAAUCAUCAUUAUCUAAGUUUUUUCUCAACUAACUGGGGUCGUUUGGUAAAAUGAGAACUGCAAAAUACUGCCCUAGUACAGAUUGCUUCGGUUAUGAUCAAACUAAAGUUGCCCAAAACUAUCAGACAGUGGAGAUUGGCCUACAUCGAAGAUCACCAUUACAACAACACAAUCAACGUUUCAAAAAUGGCGAGCUUGUCCAGUACCUCAAUAAGAAGAAUUUAUAGUCUCAUUUAUUUUGAUUCAUUUAUUCAUAAUUUCUUAAUAAUAGAUGAUGCGUCAGCAUAUGUAUUGGCACUCGCACAGGUGCAGAUUCUCUGGGCAUGGCCACUCCACCCUUGGACCUCCUUACGGCACCAGUGGAUAUGGUUACAAGUUCCCUUUCCGACGGUGAAAAAUUCAAUGCAGACCUUGUUUGGGGCUGCAGAGAUCGUGGCACCUGACAUAAACAUAUAAGGAAAUUGUUAAACUUACCGAAUUUCAUCUAGGAGAUCAUUUUUUUUUUUGUAUAAGGAGGUAACAAUCAUUUUCAGUCAUUGGAUGUGAAAUCCAAUAGAUGAAAGUGAUGCAAUAUUCGGGAAAUUAGGAACGAAAAGAUCCUUUGAAUGUUUUGAUCUAAGUAUUGCAUUAAAAUGGACGGCCUAUAUUAAUUGUUUUAGAAAACAUUUUGUUAGAUGUGUUUUUAAAGGGUGCAAUUUGCAUAUGGAUGCAUCUGUAGGUAUAGAGGUAUGGUGCACCCUCAAAUUUUAUCAUGAUAUAUAAUUUUGAUGUAAAUUUUUUUAGGAUUAUCUCAAAAGCUAUUUUUAUAUAUAAUUAUAAAAUUUUAAAUUUAAAAAAAAAUUAAAAUCCAGUAUAUCUAUAAACAUAUGAAAAUCUUGAAAAUGGACGGUAUAGAUAAUAUGUUGUAAAAUACACUAUGUUUGAGACUUAAAUUUUUUUUAUUUUUCAUAGUCGUACAUCUCAAUGUUUAGAUGAUCAAUCAAAUGGUUUUUCAACAUAAAAACUACCUUUUCCGAUGGAUUUUUUAGGGGCAUCCGUAGUUCUACAUUAUAAGGUAGCAUAUUUAUAUAAACUUUUUCCAAUUUUAAAUUUUGCUUUUUUGUUAUUGUUCAUUAGAAUGAAAAGAGUGUCUAUUUAAAAAAUAGGGUCAAAUAAAUAGCCUUAAUAUGGUCUUUGAAUGUUGUUUCAUUAAUUUAUAAGACACCUGUUAUAUAUAUAUAUAUAUAUAUAUAUAUAUAUAUAUAUAUNNNNNNNNNNNNNNNNNNNNNNNNNNNNNNNNNNNNNNNNNNNNNNNNNNNNNNNNNNNNNNNNNNNNNNNNNNNNNNNNNNNNNNNNNNNNNNNNNNNNNNNNNNNNNNNNNNNNUAUAUAUAUAUAUAUAUAUAUAUAUAUAUAUAUAUAUAUGCUAAUGUGAGCCCACUAGCUCGCAUGAAAAAAUGAGGAAAGUCCGAGAGUUGAAACUGAGGUAAUAGUAGUCCAUCGCCGAAAAAGGGCAGGACAGCCGCCAAAAGGCACCGUGGCAUAAAUCUAUUGACCUGAGUAUUCAUCCGUUACCUUAAACGGAAAAUUUUAUUAGGACGCUAUCCAAUAGGACAUUAUCAUUAUCUAGCGGUACACUAAGGAUAAAAAAUAUGGAAGAGAUAAUAAUUGACAACAUAGAAACACAAAUACAUACUUGGAACAUACCAAGAGUUUCUAUUAUUGAUAUUUAUAAAAAAGGUACUUUUGAGUUUAGAACUAGCUAUACAAUAAAACGGUAGAACAAAGUUUGUCAGUUAAUAGUGAACAGGAAAGUUUUCAGUUAUUAUCAAAUAAAAUGAUUUAGACUCAUAAAAAUAAAGAUUAUAAGUAUCUACACAUAGGCUUUAUACAAAUUGCUGUAAAACCGCUUACUAGACUAGGAUUAAAUAACUCCAUAUUAUUAUGUCUUAGAGAUAAAAGACAUAACAAAUUUACUGAUUCUUUAUUAGGAAUUGUAGAAUCUAGUUUGUGUAGUAGGCCUGUUUAUUUUAAUUGCUUUCAUAAUUAUUCAGUAUCUCUAAGUGAUCCCAACCUCCUUAAAGUACUUACCCUUAAUAUAAAAACUCAAGGGUUCGAUAUGAAUCCGGGCUCUCAGAAUAUAGCUCUAAUCUAUAGGAUAUGUUAUAAAGUUAUGAAUACACCUAGUCCAAAUGUUUUGCAAAUGGAUACUAGAGGACAGACAAUCUUCUUCCAAACAAAUAUACAAAAGUCCAAUACUGUUAUCCCAAAAUCAAUAAACCGGUCUCGAGUAAUUCUGCCAGAAAAUUGGUCUAUCCAUAAUGAAAACCAACAAUAUAGGACCCCCAUAAAUAAUGAACCAGAUCAAAUAGUGGAACAUCCUGACGGAAAUAUUGAAAUACAAUUCAACUCUAGUCGAAGAACUAGAUUGAAUUUUUCAGAUGAUAUAGUGAGACCUCCAAGAAGAAUACCUAUACCUUCUAGACACUCUACCUCAUCUUUACAAGAUAAACCAAUAAUACAAGGAUUGACAAGAACAGAUAGUAAUAUGCACAUACCUAUAUAUGAACCAUAUGAUCCCAGUCUAUCAGGGAAUGACCCAACAUACUCAGAUCUCGAUUUUCAAAUCUUGACACUUCAGAAGAAAGAAAAAUUAAAUAUAGAAUUGUUAAAAAAUGAUUACCUGUCUGAAGCCAAUAGAGAAAUAAGGGAAUGGUAUCUAACAUAAUUUUCUCAAGAAUUAUUAGAUGUAUUUCAUAAAAGAUACAAUAAGUUUAUAAAAAGAAAUAAGCAAAACAUAGGUUUCUUUGAUUGGUUGAAAUUAACCCUCAAAGAAAAAGAUAUUCCUGUCCCUAACUUUGAGCUAAAUACUCUGCAAAAUCAGUACCAAUCCUUUUAUACGACUGAAGGAGAAGAGAUCCUAAGUAUACAUCCCCCAGAGAAAAGCUCGCAAAUUAAAGGAGUAAUAAAAGAUAAACCAGAAACCAAAGCAUCUCCCUAUAGAAUGGCUCCUAAUGAACACGGCCUAAAGAUAGAAAUGAUCCCACAUAUAAUCGAACAAAAUAAUUAUACCAAUCUCUGUUUACAGACUAUUGGAAAACAAACAACUAGGAUGGAAAAUAUAAUAGAAAGAUCUCAAGGGCAGAAUAGUAAAAGACAAGAGAAAAAGGCUGUGUUAUUUAAAUCUCCUCUAAAAGUAAAUGAAGAAAGAUUCAGCCUAAAAGGGUUCAAAAAAAGGGAAGAAAAUAAAGAAUUGGUUGAUGAAUUAAUUAAGAAACUUUCUAAGUUGAGUUUAAAAGACAAAAAGGGGAAAUGGGUAAUAGUUGAAUCAGAAGCCAUGGUGCUAGCAGCAGAUUCAGCAAAUGAGGAAGAAAUAUUCAAAAUAGAAGAAGCCUUCAAAGAAAAUAGUUCGAAUAUCAAUAGGAUAGAUUAUGGGAAAAAUUGGACACCUCUUGCUCAAUCAAGAAUAUACCAUACUAGGCCAACCUCAGUAGAUAGACAGUUUGUAGAAGAUUUGAUUUUCCAUACUAUAUCCUACUCAGGAAGGACAAUCAUCAAUUGGAAUAUUGAUGGUAUGUCUGACCAUCAGCUACUCAAUACCAUGAAGCAUAUCACUAUGUAUGCCACUGCCUGUAAAGUAGCAAGAAAAUAUGGCUAGUAGCUAAGGCUAUUGUCAGUGGUUUUACUGGAUGGUUAUGAGGUUGGUGGGACUUUCAUAUGAGUUAAACCACUAAAAAUCAAAUAUGAAAUGCUACAAGAUAAUGGACUGUAAAUAAUGAAUUCAAUUAAGAUAUUCCUUAUAGUGAAAAUGAUGAUGUCAAUACACUCAUUUAUACAACAACCCUCCACUUUGUAGGGAGUACUUCCUUGUUAGAUGCUAGGUCUGAAGAUCUAUUAUCAAAUCUCAGAUGUCCAACAUUAGCUCAUUAUAAGUGGUAUAAGGAUGUAUUCUUUUCAUGCCUUCUAACCCGAGAGGAUAGUAGUGCGGACUAUUGGAAGGAAAAAUUCAUAGCAGGUCUACCCUAUUUGUUUGCUGAGAAGUUGAAAACCAGACUAAAAAAUAAGAAUCAAGGAAUAAUCCCUUACUCCCUUUACACUUUAGGAGAACUGUUUGCAUAAAUUUGUACAGAAGGACUUGCCCAAUGCACUGAUUUAAAAUUAAAGAGGAAGUUGGACAAACAGAGAAUUACAGGGAAAAAGUAGUUAGGAGAUUUUUGUGAACAAUUUGGUUAUAAUAUUGUACCCUCAUCUGGUAAAAUCUAUAAAAGAAAAAAUAAGAAUAAGAGGUAUAAAUUUGGUCAAAAGAAAGAUAUUAGGGAAAAAUUCACUAAGAAAUUUGCCCCAAAAGCCAAAUACAAAAAAGGAAAAAGAAAGCUUCUAGUAUGUUAUAGUUGUGGGAAGGUAGAACAUUAUAAAAAUAAUUAUAAGGUUAAAAAGAAAAUCAAUGACUUACAGUUGGAAGAGGUAAUCAAAACCCAUAUGUAUGAUAUACUUCAAAUAGAUGAUGAAUCCGAUAUGAAUACAUCAGACUCCUAUACAGAGUCUCUUGUAGGGAGAAUCGAGGAUGAAAAUCUAAUCUUAAGUAGCUCAUACUCUGAAGAAGAUAUAGAUGAUUGUCUUUGCAAAAUGGUUAAUACUCUUACAAAUGAAGAAAAUCUAAUUAUAGAUUAAAAUAUUUGACCCAGAAGCUAAAAGGGAAGCCUUAACACAAUAUUUGAAAAUAGCUAAAAUAAAAAAUGAACCUACUCCUUUUGUUAAAACACAGGAAGAAUCAAUAAAAGAGAUAUUAUACAAAAAGAACCUUCUAUUUCUGACUUAAAGCAAGAAAUAAUGAGGUAAAAAGUGAGGUCCAGCAUCUUAAAAAUAGAAUAAGGAUUUUAGAAAUGACUACUGACUUUUCAGACGAAGAAACUAAUGAUGAAUUAGAAUUUGAUAGCCUUUUAGAUACCCAUAAAAGAAUAAUACCACCAGUUGUGUCUCCUGAUUUAGACAUGCCAGAAUUCUCUGACCUAGUCAAUAAAGAUUUACAAGAAAACAACCAUCUACAUUUAUUGGAUAGAGUAAUUACUCAAAAAUGGUUUACCCUAAUAAGAAUAAUAGUAAACAGAGAAUAUAGCUUUCAAUCACUUGCCUUAAUAGACUCAGGCAUAGACCUUAAUUGUAUAAAUGAGGGAUUAGUACCAACUAAAUAAUUUUGACAAGACUACUCAAAUACUCAAUACAGCAGAUGGGAGUAAACUAAUGAUAAAAUAUAAAUUAUCUAAUGUUGCUCUUUGUAAUAAUGGAAAUUGCUUUGAAAUGCCAUUUAUCAUGGUUAAGGGGUUAAGUCAAGCUGUUAUUCUUGGAACUCCUUUCUUAAAAUUAUUGUAUCCCUUGAAAAUAGAUAGUACAGGAAUUGAAUCAAAUCUAGAUGGUCAUAAGGUAAAAUUCGAUUUCAUAGAUAAACCUAAGGUUAAAGAAAUUAGUAAUGUCAAACAGACUAUAGAAAAUAAGGAAAUAUUUUUAUGCUCUUUAAAAGAAGAAAUAAAAUACAAAUUAAUAAAUGAAAACCUUCUAUUACCAGAAAAUAAAAAGGAAAUUGAUAAUAUUAAAAGAAAAAUAGAAGAAGAAAUUUGCAAUGAUUUGCAAAAUGCUUUUUGGAGCAGAAGAAAACAUAUAGUGAGCUUACCUUAUGAAGAAGGAUUUAAUAAAAAUAAAAUACCAACUAAAGCUAGACCAAUUCAAAUGAAUACAAGACUCCUUGAAAUAUGUAAGAAAGAAAUUGAUGAAUUGCUCCAGAAAAAUUUAAUCAGGAAAAGUUCUUCUCCUUAGAGUUGUUCAGCCUUUUAUGUAGAAAAAACUGCAUAAAAGGAGCGAGAAGCACCAAUACUGGUAAUAAAUUACAAGCCUCUAAACCAGGCACUCAAAUGGAUUAGGUAUCUUAUACUUAACAAAAAAUAUUGCUUGAUAGACUGGUCCAUGCAUGUAUAUUCUCAAAAUUUGAUUUAAAAUCUGGUUAUUGGCAAAUACAAAUAACUGAAGAAGAUAAAUAUAAAACAAUUUUUAAUGUACCCUUUGGACAUUACGAAUGGAACGUAAUGCCUUUUGGGCUAAAAAAUGCUCUUUUCGAAUUCUAAAAAAUAAUGAAUGAUAUUUUUAACCACUAUAUGAAAUUCAUGAUUGUUUACAUAGCUGAUGUUUUAAUAUUUUCAGAAAAUAUUGAUCAACAUUUUAAACACAUAAAUGCAAACAAAACUUCAAGUUUGGUUGUAUCAGCAAGAAAGAUCAGUCUUUGCCAAACUAAAAUGAGAUUCUUGGGCCGUAAUAUCUUCCAAGGAAGCAUUACCCCUAUUGACAGGGCAAUAGCCUUUGCUGAUAAGUUCCCUGAUAUUAUUCUCAAUAAAACUGAACUCCAACGAUUUUUGGGCUGUUUAAAUUAUAUUGCUGACUUUUAUGAAAACCUGGCCAUCGAUGCUAAACCUUUACUUGCAAGGCUAAAAAAGAAUCCAUCCAAGUGGAUUGAUGAGCAUACUAUGGCAGUCCAAACAAUAAAACAUAAAGCCAAGGAAUUGCCUUGUCUUACUCUAUCUGAUCCUAAGGCAUUUAAAAUAAUUGAAUGUGAUGCCUCCGAGAUUGCAUUGGGAGGAAUUUUGAAACAACGAAUAAAUGAUAAGGACCAACUUGUCUGUUUUACUUCAAAAGCCUAGAAUAAUAUUCAGCAAAAUUAUUCUACGGUUAAGAAAGAAAUAUUAGCAAUAGUUCAUUGUGUAUCCAAAUUCCAAAGUGAUAUUCUUAAUCAGAAAUUUUAAUUCGUACUGAUUGUAAAGCAGCUAAAGACAUUCUUUUCAAAGAUGUUAAAAAUUUGGUUUCAAAACAAAUCUUUCCCCGAUGGCAAGCAAUUCUCUCCUCUUUUGAUUUUUAUAUCGAUCAUCUUAAAGGCAAUACUAACUUCCUUUCUGAUUUCUUAACUCGUGAAUUUUUGCAGGGGGGACAGAGAUAUACAUAGAGAAAACUGCCAAAGACAACCAAUAAUGGAUAUUAAUAGUCAAAAUAAAGGGAAAAAUAAGAUGGAAAUUGUUCCUUCUGGAUCACCUAUAAUAAGUUACCCACUAUUUUCACCAUCUUCAGAUAAGCCUAUGAUAACCUAUCCAAGAACCCCAAGCCAACUAAUAAAAAGACAAGCCCAAGAACUUGUCCUUUCUCCUAGUCCAAUAAAAGCCCCUCCUUUAGCAAAAUCCUUGUUCAUAGAAACCACUUUUCUUAUUGAUACAAUCAUAGAAGAUGAUGGUAAUAAGACGAGGAAAUGGUAUGAAGCACUUCUGCUUGAAAUAGGCUCAAUUACUUUGGUACACUUCUACCAAAGGAAUACAAUAUCGUGGCCUAUUCAAAGCUUCAAAUAAGAAAAAUAAUAACAUAUAAGGAAUGGGGAUCAGACCCAAUGAGAAGUAGAAACUUACAAGCUUCAGAAUUCAAUAACAAAUACUACAAAUAUUCUUAAUAUAGGGAUGCUUGGCAUAAAGUGUUUGCCCUCCAAAAUAAUAAUAACUCGCAUACUUGAUUUAUACAAAUGAAAAUGCCAAUGGUUGAACCACUCCCAAACUGGUUCCGUGAUUGGUUCCUGAUCUGGGGAUCUGGAAUACAGAUUCUCCCGGAUAAAAUACAAAAAUAUCAAUAUAAGUUUGCUACAUACAAUAAUAAAAACCCCAAAAUAGAUCACCAUUUAUACUUCAUAGCUUUGUAUCAAAUUCCUUGGAUAAUGAUGUAGAAUUUUGCAAUAUCUGAUAAUCUUACAAACGAUUGGGAAUAUAUCCCAAAACUGGGACAUAAAAUAUAUAUUAAAUGGUGGGACGUCUAUAAAAACAAGUCCCUUGAUCCAGACAAUAUUGAGCUAAGAAAAGUCUCAGGUCAAAUACCACAAGAAAACCCAAAUAGCUUUUAUGAAUAUAUCAAUAAAAUGAGAAAACAAAACCCCAAAGCAACCAAGGAAGAGUUAAAGAAACAAUUACUGCAUAUAUUUGAGGAAGAAGGAGAAUCAAUGUCCACCUCAUCUCAAAAUGAUGAAGAUUACGCAGUCGAAAACGAAGACUGUGAAAUAAUGCAGCCAAAGAUAGACUUCUCCUAAUAGAAGUCCGACGAAAGGCCCGAUAGUCAAUAAUCGGCCCUAUCAUAUCAAUACCCAGCAUACAAAGAUUGCGAUCUGCCACCUGUCAUGCGAUCUGCCACCUGUCCUACUGCACCAACAUAAGACGACGAAUGCUGUCUGCCACCAAAAGAUUCCACUAAAGCCACCUAUCCACUAUACCGACAGUCUACUGUUCAAGUUUCUCCACUAAGGCCACCUAUCUACUAUGCCGACAACUUUUCAGUCCCCUCAUGAUACUGUUCAUAACUUUUCACUGUGCAGAGAUGCUGCCGAGAACUUUUCAGUCCCCUCAAGUCACUAUUCAUAACCUUUUAGCCAAAUCAAUGCACUGUUGCAGCUUUUGAAGCGACAUCGACUUAUGAAGAAUAAUUUGUAAUCGUUUGAGAUCCGAUGCUUAUAAAUACAAAGAGCCUGGCAUAAGCUGAGUACCGAAAGACAGAGUCCUCUCUCUGCUCUCUUCUUUCCCUAUGCUAUCUUCAUCUUUGCUCUCUUUCUUCCAUCUCUCUUUUUUAAAAAUUUCUGACCAAAAGAGUCUGCUUACUUCUCUUCUCAGCUUUUGGGUACUCCUCUUGAUGUCCGGGUAAAUUUCGAAACAUAUCAAUAGCUCAUUCUUGCUUUACUUAAAACCUUUUACAGGUUUUUCCAUCCAUGUUCUUUAAUAAAUCUCAGUGAAUAUCCAAGCUCUUCUCUUCUGUUUCAUAAAACUACUCUGUCUCUAAUUCUUGUACUUGUUAGUUACUGUAUAUCCGGUGGUGUAUCAUAAACCGCUCGAAAAGUUGAGUGAAUGUGUGACUGUAAUCUUAGUAGUCUGCCUACUUACUGUCCUGAAGAGUGGAAGCUCUUCACACCUUGAUAUUUGUACUAUGUAAGUUCUUAUUUUCAUGUAUUAUAUUUCUUAUAAGUUAUUUGCUUGUCUUUCUUUUUAGAAUGCAAAUAAAAAAAAUUACAUAUACAAAUUGGAUCGUACUAGAUAUUCUCCUUUCUCUUUAUUUAUUCUAAUAGCUGUGUUAGUGUAUUUUGGAUUCAUUAGACUGCUUAUGUGAUUACUAUUGAUUAUACAAACCUUGAAAUAUAACUCGAAAUAUAGUAAAUUCGAUCUUGGUUGUCAUUGAAAAGUUGUCGGUAGCAUCUCUGCACAGUGAAAAGUUAUGAACAGUAUCAUGAGGGGACUGAAAAGUUGUUGGCAUAGUGGACAAGUGGCCUUAGUGGAGAAUCUUGAACAAUGGACUGUCAAUAUAGUGGACAGGUGGCUUUAGUUGAUUUCCAAUAGUCUGUAAACAGAGAUUUGUAUAAUUGUUUUAUUCGAUUAUAUGUGGGAUCAUUUCUAUCUUAUGGUCGUGUUCAUUAGGAGCCAUUUUAUAAGGAGAUGCAUUUGUUUCUGGUUUAUCUUUUAUUACUCCUUUAAUUUGCAGGCUUUUCUCUGGGGGAUGUAUACUUAGGAUCUCUUCUCCUUCAAUCGUAUAAAAGGUUUGGUAGUGAUUUUGCAGAGUAAUUAGGUAAACGUUAGGGACAAGAAUAUCUUUUUCUUUGAGGGUUAAUUUCAACCAAUCAAAGAAACCUAUGUUUUGCUUAUUUCUUUUUAUAAACUUAUUGUAUCUUUUAUGAAAUGUGUCUAAUAAUUCCUGAGAAAAAUCUGUUAGAUACCAUUCCCUUAUUUCUCUAUUGGCUUCAGACAGGUAAUCAUUUUUUAACAAUUCUAUAUUUAAUUUUUCUUUCUUUUCAUGUGUCAAGACUUGAAAAUCGAGAUCUGAGUAUGUUGGGUCAUUCCAUGAUGGAUAGGGAUCAUAUGGUUUGUAUAUAGGUAUGUGUAUAUUACUAUUUGUUCUUGUCGAUCCCUGUAUUAUUGGUUUAUCUUGUAAAGAUGAGGUAGAAUGUCUAGAAGGUAUAGGUAUUCUUCUUGGAGGUCUUUGAAUUUUAAUUUAUUUAUUUUUACAAAUCCAAAUCACUUAAAAUUUGGAGCGUGUGUAUAUAAAAAAUAAGUGAAUCUUCAAAAAAUAUCAAAAAAAUAUUUUACAUGAAACAAAUUAAGCAAAAUAGCUCGGAAAAUUUUAGGGGUAUUUUGGUAAAUUUUUUCAUGACUUAUUUUUUUUAUAUAUUUUUAUUAGGUGCAGCUUGAUGAGAAGAACAUAUGUUUAAAAUUUCAAGUGAUUUGGAUUUGUGGAAAAAAAAUUAAAAUUCAAACACUACUAGACAUCCGUGUUCGUCAGAUCGGCCUAGAUUCAAUUUGGGUCGUUGGGCUUAUAUUAUUCCAUGAGCUAGUGGGCUCACCCAAGCGCUUUUUCCUCUCUCUCUCUCUCUCUCUAUAUAUAUAUAUAGUAGGGAUGUCUUCAUGCAAUGGUUAUAUAGAAGUANNNNNNNNNNNNNNNNNNNNNNNNNNNNNNNNNNNNNNNNNNNNNNNNNNNNNNNNNNNNNNNNNNNNNNNNNNNNNNNNNNNNNNNNNNNNNNNNNNNNNNNNNNNNNNNNNNNNNNNNNNNNNNNNNNNNNNNNNNNNNNNNNNNNNNNNNNNNNNNNNNNNNNNNNNNNNNNNNNNNNNNNNNNNNNNNNNNNNNNNNNNNNNNNNNNNNNNNNNNNNNNNNNNNNNNNNNNNNNNNNNNNNNNNNNNNNNNNNNNNNNNNNNNNNNNNNNNNNNNNNNNNNNNNNNNNNNNNNNNNNNNNNNNNNNNNNNNNNNNNNNNNNNNNNNNNNNNNNNNNNNNNNNNNNNNNNNNNNNNNNNNNNNNNNNNNNNNNNNNNNNNNNNNNNNNNNNNNNNNNNNNNNNNNNNNNNNNNNNNNNNNNNNNNNNNNNNNNNNNNNNNNNNNNNNNNNNNNNNNNNNNNNNNNNNNNNACGCUUUCCUUCUCUCUCUCUCUCUCUCUAUAUAUAUAUAUAUAGGGGAAUGCUUUCAUGCAAUGGUUAUAUAGAAGUAUAAUGUAACCAUGUUAAAAACAUUUAUUUAACACGAUUUUUUAAAUGUAUACUCUUUUCAUUUUGAAGAACAAUCACAAAAAAGAAAAUUUUGAAAAAAUGCUCUAGAACGUUUUCAUUCUAGCCCAAUAAAUAUAGGCCAUCCAUUUUACUGAGAUCGUUAGAUAUAAGCCUCAGAAGGAUGUUUUUAGUCCAAAAUUUUUUAUUGAGAUCGUUAGAUAUAAGUCACGAAGUCCAAGAAUUUUUUUGUUGGAAUUUUAUGUCUAUUUAAUGACACUCUUACGACCACCCAUUUUGAAAUUUUAAUGACAAGAAUGAUUAUCAUCUCAAUGUACAAAAGAUAAAUGGUCUCUUUGUAUACAAUCCCUUAAUAAUAUAACAUUCGAAACGUUUUUGAAAUAAUUAUCUAAUGAUUUUCAAAUGGAUCCUAAAAUUUCAUAUUAGAAAAAACAAAAAAAUCUCCCGUAUUUGAACAAACGAUAUUUAUUUUAUUUAGAAAAUACACUGGCUCGCAUGUGUUGGGAAAGCUCUUUAAUUUCAUUACAUGGGGUCUAAUAAACUGGUCACCAACUGAUUUGGACCAGAAUUAGAGGAGUCCAGGGGUCUUUAAACCCAAACCGGUCAUCCACCGGUUCGGAGCCGGAGCUAAACCACCGGAGGCUGUUAGCAAGUUUUUAAAAGAUGGGAACGGACCAUUAUAUGGAUUUCAAAAGCCCCCUUCCAUUUCUCUCACUUCUAACCUUAUUUUCUAUCUAGAGUGGCUCACCUAAACCAUGAACAAACGCACUAUUUCUCUCUCUAGAUCCGCCAUCUCUGUCACAAAUUGAGUUCAAUGUAGCUUAUGAUUUCGUGAUGAAGAUAAUGAAGAAAACUCUCUUCUCCUUUCUUGCACUAAGCGAUUGAAAGUGCUAGUUAAAUCCAAGCAAUUUUUAGUGUCUUCAGUUUAGUUGAAGGAAAAAGCAUGGGCCUAAUUUUCUUAAAAAAAAAAAAGGAGAAAGAGAAAGCAUGGGCCUGGAAAUGGGUUUUACCUUUCUUUGCUUCAAUGCAAUGGGAAUAGGUCUAGAUUGAAAAUCAUAGAUAAUGAAAUGGGGAGCCAUGGGUCCAUGACAUGAUCUAACCUAAUGUGAAUAUUUUACAUAUCUUGCUGUCCAAGAAGGUGUAAGUUAGCAUUUUAUAAGAAAAAUCCUAUAAAUUUAUAUUUCAUCAAAAGUCAUAGUCUUGUAAAAAGUAAUGCUUGUCAUAUGCUGCAGGAGAUGGGUUUUAGUCAUCGUCAUCAUUAUCAAAAUUUUAUCUCAAUAUUUGGAGUCGGCCUCAAGAAAAGAUGCAGUGAAAUAUUGCGUGACCUGUUCAUCUAACACAACCCUCUUCUUUUAUCUGGGGUUCGGAUUGGCUGGCCAUGGCGGAGUUGGGGAUUUAGUCCUACAUUCACAAAUUGGAAAGAGUUAAACAUAGAGAAAAUUUAUCUACUGUUGUAUCAAUGGAAACAAAAGAAAGAUAAGGUCUACAAGAAGCAUGUGAAGUAUUUGCGCGAUCAGGGUUAUAAUUGUGAUAGGCAUAGAGCAACUAUUAAACGCGAUCAUAAUUAAAGUUAAAAAACAAAUCAGUGUGACUGAUGGCUACUUGAAUUCAUGAACAGUUGCAUGUUUUUCAUGUAUGAGCGCAUAUACUAUGCUCUUUCGGGACCAUAAUUUACAUCUAUUCCCUUGGUUAAAUGACCUACUCGAGAGGUUUUUUUCAAUCUGAAAUUUGGUAACCAUCUUAGAAUCACUAAAUGAUUAUUAAUGAAAAAAAAUGAAAUUUAACUUUCCUAACACUUAGAUACCUUUUAAAAAUUGGACGUUUCUAUUCAAUCUUAAGAUAUUAGUUUUUCAAGUUCUUAGAGGGGUGCAAUUAAAAAAUCUUUUUAUUCAGUGACAAAAACAUUCCAAUUCAUUAAAGGGCAUCUCUACUCUCUAUACAAAUUGCUUGAAGCUCUCAUCAAGACAUAGUAUUUGAGAAAAUCUCUCUUACUUUUCUGACAUUUUCCUUCAAAGGAAAGGAAAAUCCAACAAUGUCAAAACUACUUUUAGCAUAGUAUACUCCUCAAGAAGUAAAUUAUAUAUUUGAUUCCUCCAGCAAAACACCCACUUAGGAGGAUUGUCACAUAUAAAAUUUUAAGAGACGUGCUAGAAUCACCAUACACUGUCCUUCUAAAGCAACUGUAUUACCACGGAUGUCGUUAUUUGGGACCUUGAUCCGGGGGGAAAUUUUUCAGUGGGGUCUCUUUACAAACAUAUGGCUUGUGACGGCUAUCAUAGACUUCUCCCUGGGAUCAACAAAGUGUGGACCUUCUAUGUUCCGAAUGGAGUGAAGGCCUUCAGAGACAGAUGCUUGACUGUGGAACAACUUAGAAAGAGAGGGAUGAUCAUUACAAACAUUUGUAUUGUGUGAAAAAAAUGAGGAAACCAGUUUAUAUAACCGAACCCAAUUAGUUGGAAAAAGAAUUUGCCCUCUCGAUGAUAUUGUCACAGAUGAGAACUCUAUGGCGUCGUUAGCUGUGAGACCAUAGUCAUUAUAUAGGUAACGCAUAGUGGUGCUCUUUCUCCCUGCACAGACAAUGAGGAUGAGCUCCAAGCAGUUAGAUAAGGAGUACACAGACCGGGCCGUAACUAUAAGAAGGUGGUUAUAGAAGGAGACUCAGACAAAUGUAAUUCCAUGAUACUCCCACCCCUCUUCAACCCCUUAGGAGAUAGAGACUUAAUAUAGAUAAAAUUCGAAUGGAACUAGAGGGUAAUAAAGUUAUCAGCAUGUAUCCCAGAUAAAGCAACCAUCAUGCUGAUGAGUUGGCUAGAAUAUCAGGAGGACAUUAGCUAAGGUCAUUUUUAAUUCUCUUCUCUUUUGUUUCCUAUUCUUUCAAUGAGAAUUUUGGGUACCCUUCCCUAUUCUUUUUCCUCUCCUUAUUUGUUAGAGGCACCUCUCUCUCAAGGUAUCCCAAUGCCAAGCAAGGAUGCAGAGGAAGGGUUGUGUGGUUUUCAUUAUCUGGUUUUCAUUCUUCUUUCUUUUGCCUUUUCUUCUAUACAUAGCUCGAAGUACAUCUCGCACUUAAAAUGAAAGUAAGAGCGAACAAUCAAAAAAAAUAUAAUAAUAAUAAUAAUAAUACUAAGUCCUAAAACCAAAAUCUAAGCCUCAAAUAAAAAAAAAAGAAAUUACAUGCUUUCUAUUCAAACGGUUACAUCUCAUGUGAUUUGAUCUAUGAACCCCCUGAGCAGCAUUCAACUACAGUAACCAAUGCCUUUUAACAUUUUUUUCAAAAAAGAACUAAACAUGUUAAUAUGAUAUAGAAUUGUCUAUAAAGAGACCAUUUGUCUUUUGUACAUAGAGUACCCGAUCAUUUUUGUGGUUGUAAGAGUGUUAUUGAAUAGACGUACAGUUCCAAAAAAAAAAAAAAUUUCUCAGAUUUCAUGACUCACUCCAAAAAAUCCAAUUUGAUAUUUUAUAAGUGGGAAUGAUUAUGACAUCUAUAUACAACAGAAAAAUGCUCGAUUUGUGUACAAUCCAAUAUAAUAAAAAAUUUCAAUCCGAAUUGAUGAUCUACAAUUCGGAUCAACGAUUUUCAAUCCACGUAAGCAAGUUUUUAAACAGUGCUCGUGGCAUAGUUAACAAGUUAACCUUAAAGUGAAGGGCAUAUCCGCAAAAUUCUAGGAGAAUUCGGGUUCAAUUCUUAGUAACAAACUGUGUCUCCCUCCCACUUUUUUCAACUUGGAUCAAAAACCGUUGUUUCCCGAUGGGGGAGGGAGCGGCGUAUUUGCAGAAGAGGAGUGAGAAACGGCCCAUGCUCCUCCCUUUCCCGGUAUGUUUCUCUCUCUCUCUCUCUCUACUAAAUUGUGACAUUGUAACCCUUCAAGAUCUCUUUCUCUCUACCAGCUCCACUGUUUCCUUUCCUUUACCAGUCACAAAUCUCCCUCUCCAUCUUCAAUGGUGUUUCUAUAACGUCUUCGAAGUAAUGGCUUUGGAAAAACUCCAGGCACUCUCUCUCUUGAAACCCCACUAUGUAUUUUCCCUUCUCAUUCCUUUUCCUUCUUUCUCUUCUUCCUUUGAACUCUAUUCCACAAAAACCUCUCUUCUCACUCCGUCUCCUUCUCUCACUGGACAUGGACUUCUCUUAAGUGCUUCUCCUCCUUCUUCUUCUUCUUCAAUUGUUAAUCUUCUAAUGGACUCACUUGGCCUCUCUAAAGAAUCAGCCUUGGCCGUUGCCUCUUCUUCCCGGUUGGGCCUCAAUAAACCCACCAAAAAUCCGAUAUGUGUGCUAAAAUUCCUCAAAGACUCUGGUUUUCAUGAUGCCCAUAUCUGUUCCAUUGUAACGAAGAGCCCCAAGAUUCUUGUGGCCAAUGUUGAGAAAACCCUAAAACCCAAGUUUGAAAUGCUCGAAGAUUUGGGUCUCUCUGGUCCUGAUCUCGGGGCGUUUCUAUCUCCACGUGCAUUCAUCGUCUAUUACAGUGCAGAGAAGAGGAUCGCCCCAACCAUUGAAUUCCUCAAAAGCUAUUUGAAAACCAAUGAAAAUGUUCUUAGAGUUCUGAGAAAUAGUUGGACGCUUUCAUUUCCCAUUGAGGAAAGAAUCCUACCCAAUAUGAGGUGCAUGGAGAGCUAUGGAGUUGGUCCCUCACAACUGCAACAAUUGACAAUCGUCCGGCCUAGGUUGCUUUCUCAUAACCCCAAAAGACUUAAGGAAAAUUGUGAGAAAAUUAUAGAGAUGGGCUUUAAUCCGAAUUCUUUGAUGUUUGCUCAUGCUCUUCAUGCAUUCAGCUCGAUGAAUAAGGAGACAUGGCAGGCAAAAGUUGACAUUUUUAAGAGUUUUGGGUGCUCGGAAGAUCAUGUAUUUUCAAUGUUUCGGAGGGCACCUUAUACAAUGUCUCUCUCGGUGAAGAAGUUGAAGGAAACAAUGGAGUAUUUUGUUAACAAACAAAAGGAUGUUUUGUUCCAUUUGAUUAUGAAUCCAAAAAUUUUUGGUUAUAGCUUGGGGGGAAGGGUGAUACCGAGGAACAAUGUUUUGCAAGCUUUGAGAUCGAAGAAGUUGCUCAAGAAGGAUGUGAAAUUAUCAUCAGUUUGUUUGUUGUCGGAGAGGAUAUUCUUGCAAAAAUUUGUGGGGUGUUUUGGAGAAGAGGCAGAUUACUUGCGCCGGAUCUAUGAAGAAAGCAAGGGCAACCCAGAAAUGAUUCUAUGAUCAUGGGUUCCAUGGAGGCUUCCUUGCUUUUUGAUUGUUGAAUCAAAGGUUUUCUAUCUUCCUCAUAACCUUUUUUGGAUUUAUAAAAUUGAGACCUUUUUUUUCAUGAUUUUUGCUUUUGACUGGUCCUCCUCUGUUUUUCCAUUUUAUGAAUACUGGUUUAGAAUCAGAAUGGCCUUUAACCUAUUGUCUGUUGUAAAAUCAGCUGAUUCUACUUUUGUUUCUUUGAUAUCCAUUGCCUCUAGUGGUUGUCCAAGAUAUAGUAUGAGCACUUGUGUAACAAUUUUGGAAUAAUGAGUUGAAAUGUUCAAUUUCAUGUCUGAUAUGCCAAAAUAGCUCAAAGUUAUGGUGCCAUUAUAUUCAUUGACAUUUAGUUGCUUAUAGCGUUCAUAUUUUGUUGAGAUCAAUAUUGAUUUGAGGCAUUCUUUGAAAUUAGAAAGUUGACAUUGUUUCUACCUACAACUUAGAUUUUGUGCAUUAAAUGUUUGCUUGUGGGCUGUGGCAAAAUAUUUAAUCAACACAAUAAAAAAUAAAUGGAUUAGUGUGAAAUAAACAGUUAAGAUUAAUCAAAGACAUCUUUUUUUUUUUUUUUUUUGAGAGAAAUCAAUCAAAGACAUCUAUUGAAUUCAAAGAACAAGGAAUGACGAUUGUAUGAGGAUUAGAGGUUGUUGUGUAGAUUAUCUUAGGCCUCACUUUUUCGGCCGUAGAGAUUUCACUUCACGGUAGUUGUGCCUGAGUGGGUAGUGUGCAGCUUGGCACACCACCAUCUGCAGAGGUUUUAAACUUUUGGAACCCCUCUUAUUAGCAAAAUGCCGGUGAAAAGGGGCAUUUGCACGUAUGGAUACAAAAGAAAAUACCUUUUCUCUCUAUCAGCAAAAAAGUGGAUACUGUUCUACUUGUUAUGACCCCUGUGUCUUACCUCUUAUCACAGUUUCCCAUAAAGCCAACUAAAGAUGUCCCUUGGAUAUGACAACCAAAACAUUCAGAUAGGGCCUCACAAUUUUGUUGUCAUAAUAAUCAUCUAAGAUAUUUGAUUGGGUUAUCAAAUGAAUUAUUACAUACUUAUAAGUGGUCUAGGCAACCAAAACACAAACGGGGCCUUACGAUUGUCAUAAUAAUGAUGUAAGAUAUUUGAUUGGGUUAUCAUAUGAAUUAUUACAUAAUUAUAAGUGGUUUAGUAUUGUAGCUGGGCACUAUGGUCAAUCAAUAUAUCCGAACUGUCCAAAUUGGGCCUUACAAUAUCUUAUCGAAAAGAUGGCUUUUGGUUCGUAUCUAAUGUGAUCUACAUGUUCUGCAUUUGCAGCCAGAAAACUCUUUCUAAGUUGGUGUUUUAGUAUGU